CUCGACGUAGCCAAGUGGUCGAAGGCGGCAGUCUGCAAAACUGCCGGCGUCCAGCCCGCGUCGGUUCGAAUCCGUCCGUCGAGUCCA
rnacentral:tRNA from 1 species